AGCUUUUUGUGUGUGUGUGCAAGUAAAACUAUUAAUUUCAAAGUCUGGAGGAAAUCUGGCUCAGCCGUAAUUGUUUCCCAAAAGUUUUGAUCUUAUUUUUUUAACAAAAACAAUAUUAUUUUGCUCACUACGUUUUCAGUGUCCAUAAAUCCCUAAUAUGCAUGGAAUACUACUUUGCAGAAGUAAUUAAUGGUAUAGAUUUCCUCCUUUCACCACUCCUACAGAGUAUAAAUAUGCAAAAGUAAAUUCCAGUAUGGAAAUUAUCAUACUUAUUAUUAAUCAAUGUCUUUCCUGAGAGUAACUUGGGGUAAAACACCAUCUUCAUUGAUUCACCUUGCAGAUUUGCAAGCCAGAAAAGAAAGUAUCACUGCAUCUCACACCAGGGUUUCCCCAGGGGACAGAUCCAGCCUUUUCCAGCAGGGACCUGGGCAGGACAGGAGCGAGGGUUUGGGCUCAGGAAAAGCCACAUGAGUUUGAUUCUGUUUUGGUGUUGUUGACACUUUAGUUUGAAGCCUUUUUUCUGUCCCAAUGUGCUGAAGUGCAACACAGAGGGCUUGUUCUGUUUAUGACGAAUGUUUGAUAGCUAGAAAUUAACUGUGUUUGCAGCUACCUCUUAGUGGGCUCAUAAAAAUUCCUUUUAACUCUGCAGGGCCCUUUUGUAUGCAGAAAUCCUCCAGUGCACCAUCUGCUCAGGGCUCGUGGACAUCCGCAAGUUACCUCCCUGUGACAGGGAUAUCUGAGAGCUGUGUGUCUUUAGCAUCCAUAACUAGCCAAAACCUUUCAAAGCUGCUACAGGCAAGUGAUGUGACAGAGUACCUAAGCAAUAUGGAGUGUGAUGUUUUGCCAGUCCUCCAGAGCCUCUGCCAAGGGACACUGGUAGGUGCAGACUGGUGGCCUGAGGACCUCUUACCUCCACCAAGCCAUUAUCCUGCUUUUCUGGUCAGUGGGAGCCAAAGUGAACCUGGUGUGUAAAGGCAGGAUGCAGCUACAAGCCUUCUGUGAGUCACCCUAUUGUCCAAAAAAAAAAAAUCAAGAUUCUUCGGAAAAGCUCUGCCAGAACUGAUGCAUGACACAUGUUGCAGGUGACUGGACUAGCAGCAGGAAUUAAAGUGGGGCAGCACUGCGGGCAGCCGGGGCAUGGUGUCGGGAGGGAUAAUCACAGCGGCUCCCUCCAGUCCGGCAAUUGCUGAAGCUCUGAAAAUAUCCACCCAAGAGCAGGAAAAGCAUCACUCACUGCUGAGCAGAAGCUUUUGCCACUUUCAGCCCUGCUCUUCCUCUCUCCUAUCUUUUCCAAUCAGCCUGGGUAAUAUUUGUCCUGUUUCUGUAUUAAGAAGGAGAAUGAGCUGGGUGUUUUCAACAGAAACUGUGAUCCAUGGGAGUGCCUUGUCUGGAGACCAAAGGUCCUCUCUGCCUCUUUACCUUCCACAGCCAGAGUACAAGCUCUUGAUAGGAAAGGAGCUACUGGUUUAAAUACAGGAACCAUUGAAGCAGUGGUCAUUUCAUCAAGUGAUUCAGGAUUUAAGUCUUCAGAGUGCACAUAUCCAGGCUUUACUCUGAGCCUUUCAGGGAGGCAAAGAAGACUCUGAGAUCCCCUUGUAAUCAUCUGCCUCUGGGAGCUGCAGCUCCACAGACAGUACCAGUUUCUGCAAGACUGGAAUGAAGUUUGUUCAUCAGACUGGGGACUAAUGCCAGAAGAUCUGAUUUGAUUCCUGGUAUGUCCUCAGCACUUCCUCCUAGCAAGGUACCCUGAGUUACUUUUUCUGUCCAGGAUAAAUUGAGAUAAAUUUUGCCUGUGCCUGAGUUUUGUUCAUGGCAUCCAUCUUUGCCCGUGAAAAGUUACAGCUGGAGUUGAACAGGACUUGAGAAAUGAUAAUAUCAUACUGCAGAAAGUUACAGAUCACCAGUCUGCAGCCAAUCUGUGUACAGAAGGCACACUGAAGCAGCCAGGAGUUUAAUAAAAUUUUACACUGAGGAAAGAGCAAGCCUGAUGUUUCUACCAGCAGCAGAACCACGACUCGUGUACAUACCCCUCUUAGCUACAUCUGGAAGAGAAAACAAGGCUCCCUGCAGCAGCUGCUGGCAAGGGCAGGUUACGUGGAAGAAAGGCCACAUCACUGAAGCCAGUACUGCCCGACUCUCCCCUCCAUUAUGAAAACUAACGGAUGAACAGGAAACCCAUCAAGUCAAAGCUGGAAGUCAUAAGAAGCUAUUCACCAUGCUGCAGAGCCCUGAUCUGACAGCAUGAGCCAGGACCCAGUAUUUUGCAAAAUGUGAAUGACAUGUAAGAAACCAAAGGGCAGCCAGAAGGGAAACCUCAGCAUUGCGUGCAGUAUGAACUCUGAUCUUUCUGGGGUCAUCCAGAUGAGAGCACCCAACAAAAAAUGUUCCAGUCCACCUCAAAGUCCACCAACUUCAGCAAGGGUCACUGCUCCAGAGAUGCUGCAGGGGACACGUGUCAAGCUAACGAAAGUUCUGCAAUGUCAGUGCAACCUCUAGAUUAACUUUUUGCAGCAAAACCACUUUUCUGAAGCAACCUGGAUGUCAGAAAAACCCACCUUCCUACAAAUACUCUGGAGAGUCCCUGUUUUCCCAAGCUGGUGACUCCUUCUUGCAAAGAGCCAUCCAGGCCCAUGAGCCCUUUGCUUCAGAAUAACAAGAUGAAUCAAAAAUACUGAGAUAUACAUAACUAAGGCUGCAUGAAGAACACAGCGUUUUUGAAAUUUUUGAAGUUUAAUUUGCAAUGGCUCAGAUUCAACUUUCUGUCUUUUUUAAGCUUCUCUUACUGCCUCUAAUUAAAGAAUUCAUUUGAUUUGACUAACAUAUGCAGAAAAGUAUUCCAUAAAACUGUACCUGAACCAAAAUUUCAUUAACUUUAACAGAACUAGAAUCUGUUGUCGGGUUGUUGCUUGGUGUUUGGUUGUUGUUUUUUUUUUUCUGAUCCAUGGAACAGAUCUAAGAUAAGAAAAUAUUCAGAGCACUGUUAUUCCAGGUUAUGCUUACCAAUUAUGCUUCUCAGCUCCAUAUCAAACACAGAGCCAGGUGAUAAUAAGCUGGGGAGUUUUUCUCCUCCUGUAGAUAGUCACACAGGCUUACACGGGUAGUAAUGAAGUCUGCGUAGAGCCUGUGAAUCCAAUACUCCGUGGGUGGUUCAGAUGCAAACAUCAAACCUUUGAACAGAGGAAUUGAUAGAAAAAUUAAUAUUAAAAACUACUAUUUCAUUAUGUCAAUUUUUUGGAGGAGUAUUACUAACUACUGCAAGUUAUGCUUAGAUGGGAAAAAGCACUUUGUUUAUGAUUCAAAACAUGGUACCGCAAGCCAAAAGGCAGAAAUGUUGGCUCCACAGAACUCAACAGAAAAAUUCUCAUAGAGUUAGGUGAAGCCAUGGCUUCCUCCCAAAACACUGACCACAUCUCUCUCUUCCCGUGCUGACAUUUUCCUGCUCUAGUAUCACUUUUUUCCUCUUCUUGUACAUGACGUUCUUAUAUCUUAAUCCUUCCCUCACUGAUGAUGCAUUUUCUGAUGUCUCUUUUCAAGGCACCAUCCUGCCCCAGUACAUCUUUAUCUACUUCUCUUUCUUUUUUCUUUUCUUUUUGCAUCUCUUUCAGAGUAUCUAAGAAAAAUAACCUUUAUUGCACAGUGCCUUCCCAGCCAAACAAGGCAAAAGAGAUAAAAACCCACCACUCUUUUCUCAUCAAAGGACCUUUUGAGAGUUUCGGUCCUAUGAGACUGAAUUCACAGACCUGAAAUUUGCUCAAAUAUAUUUUCCCACACUAGUCCUAAUUUAGUGUUAUUGGCUGUAUGUGGCCCCAAGUCCCAGUCCUGACUGUCUAGUCUCCAAAUAGCACUGCAACAUGUUUCUGGUUGAAUGUCACAAGGGAGCACUCUCUUAGACUCCAACAGGAUUUAAGGAACAGGAAAAUAUCCCUUUUGAAACAUGUCACAGCUUUCAGGCUAUUGAAUGGGGUAAAUGUAAAUGGAAUGCUGAAGAUCAGUUGAUUAAAAAGACAUGUAAUGGCUAAAAUAAUUUCUAACAAUAUACACUUUAUAAUAAGACAUAUAUUCCCCCUUCAGUUUCAGUACUACCAAUAUAGUGCCACACGUGUCACUAUGGCACACAGGAUGGAUGGAUCAGAAGAGUUCAGUCUUAAAUUUGUAGGAAAAAUGAUUCUGUAUGUAUUUUCCAGUUCUUGUCUGUGUUAAACUCUCCAUCAUGAGAUAUGCAACAUUUACCAGCUUACACAUUUGACAUUUCCUGCAGUCCUUGCUUUGACUGAAUGCCCAUUCUCCUUCUGCUUUGGAAUAUUUCAGAGUCUGUUAACAAGGGAAAAUAGAACUGGCCAGGAAAAUAAAUUACUUUUUGAAAAAGAUCACAGUAGUGUAGAUGUGUUUCUGAGUAACUGCCUUGAGAAAGCGGAUAGCAAUUGCAAACCACAUGCUUAAAACUACCUGGACAAAGUGACUUUGCUUUACAAAUUGGGCUUGUGUUAUUCAAAGUUAUCAAUUUGUCUUUUGUUAAUAGUUAGCAGUUAAUAGUUGAUUCCAUUUUAAAAUAAUAUCUAUAUAAAUGUUAUUGAAAAAUAUUAUUUAAUACAAAUAUUAAAUAAUGAAAAUCAGUAAUCGUUUAUUGAUUAAUUCAAGUAACAUAUGUGAUGUGUAAGGGACCUCUGUAAAGAGAACUUGCUUUCAAGGCUAACAUUAAUGAGCUAUUGCAAUAUUAUGGUCCUCUCACGAAAGAAUUUGCACCAAAGCUAGAAAACAGCUCUACCAGAAAUUGAUUACAGACAUUCAAAACCCCUCAUAACCCAUAGCCUGUAUCACGCUAUCAAUCGAUAUGCAACUCUUUCCAUUAAUAUCACUUAAAUUUGAGAAAAAUCUUCUUCUCAGUGAGGGUGACAGACACUGGAACAGGCUGCCCAGGGGGGUCGUGGAGUCUCCUUCUCUGGAGACAUUCAAAACCCACCUGGACAUGUUCCUGUGCAAUCUCAUCUAGGUGUUCCUGCUCCAGCAGGGGGAUUGGACUAGAUGAUCUUUUGAGGUCCCUUCCAAUCCCAAACAUACUGUGAUACUGUGAUACUGUGAUUCCUGCUUUUAAAUACUCUUUAAUUGGUCACUGCUAGAAAAAAUGUACCUUGGUGACAACUCUUCCAGACCAGUGGCAUGAUGCAAACCCAAGCACUGGGGACAAGGGCUGCCAAACACCUCCCAUUAACCAGCCCUGACCUGUGUUGAUAGCUAAGGCUUGCGACACCAAGGUCUAUAUUUUAGAGAACUGUUGGCCAGGCAAUGCAGUCCUGACACCUGUGUUAUAGCAUGGUGCUGUGCCUUUGUCAGAGCUUUGCAAUGAAUAGAAAGAAGGCUUACUUUAAAAAAAACCCUCCUGCUGACAAAGGGCAUGCCCUGCUCCACUGCAGAAAGCUUCUGUGAUGCCAAGAGUGGCUGAAUUGUAGCUGCCUAAAAGAGUCAUUUUAAAAAGUUAGAAGUAAAUUCCUAACUUUACACUGUUAUUCAACAAAACAAGAGUGCAGCUCUCUCUGGUGCAAUGACCAAGACAGCACUAAUCUGAUUUUUAAGGAAACAUUCAGCAUUCAUCUCCUUUUGUCAUUAGAGACGGAAAUGAGAUGGGCCAUGCGUGGCCUUUACAGCUGUUAAUGAUGAGCCUGGCAGGAUAAUUUGGACCAAGUCAUCUCCCCCCAAAUCUCAGAGCAGGCUGGUGUAUCUGUGCUCCAGCAGCUCAUGCCCCUCCCAUCUGACCUGGCACAGAGGACACAGAGGUCUCAGGUGAUGGGUUUCCCUUCCUCACCUCCUCUGCAAAUUCCCUCUGGAUAAAAACCACCUCCAUGGACUCACUCUGUGCCCCAGGGGCUCAGGUCAGACUCCUGUCUCUUGUCCAUAGCUCUGCAACAUAAAGAGAGUGAGAAACUGCCUCUUGCUGAAGAAAAAUUUGCAAGAAGGAAGAUAUUAAUGUGGAACAGCUGUGCCAUGGAUUUUAUGAAUAAUUUGCUGAAAAUAAACUUUAAUGGCAAAUUAAGAACAGAAAUUAGCUCUGCAGUUCUGCAUUCUCAAUGGGUAACUUGCUUGCACGAAAGUACACAACUAAACUUGGCACGACGAGCAGCUCGCCUGGCAGCGUCUCCCUGGGAGCAAGGCAGCGAUGGCCCAUCGGGGCUGCUGCCUGCCAGGGUGCUGGCAGGGAACUGCUUUCCCACAAUCUGCUCAGCUCUGGGCAGGCUUUUGCUUUCAGGAGCUCUAACGCAAUGAGCUGGUUCAGGAAUAAAAGGGAGAUGAGGGCCAAACAGAUCAGCUUGGCUGCUCCUCUCCCCUCUGCAUCCCUCCCAAGAGGUGAUAUUUUGGGCAGUGGUUUAACACCAUGGCCUUUGGCAGGGAAGCUGCUGGCUCUGCCUGUUUCACUGUUCACUCUCCUGGAUGGAUCUAUUUUCCCCUGUUGCAUUCAGGAGAGCAUCACCAACCCAGAGCCCCAGCUGAACCAGCGCCAAGCACCAGGAUCUUUCCACCGAUUGCCAUUUCUACCCCAGGUGCUGUGCAGGGCUGAUAACUAGCAGGCAGCGUACACCCCACUGAUCUAUUAAUAUUUGAGUGCAUUUUCUGAGCUUACCAAAAACACAGGUUCUUCAGUUUGCAUAUCCUAAAUACUCAGCAGCACAAAACCCUCAUUUUACCUCCCGCUUUCUGCUCCUACCCCAGGGCUUUAGCCCCUUCCCCAGCAGCAGGGCACUGGGGAGGAGGGUCAGUGGUGCGACAACUCCUUCUCAUAAGCAGCAAGAUGUGUGGUAAGGCACGUUCUGCCUAACUCAUGGCACCUCUGUUGCCUCCAUUUCUAGGACCACACCUGGCUCUAUUUGCACAGCAAAUAUCUUACUGUCAAAGCAGAGCGUGUUUGUUCCUCUCCUGCUUCCCCAUGCCAAGGGGCAGAGCUCACAGGAGGUGCCUCCCACAGCAGUGCUGGGGUCUGGUCCCUGGCUGGGGGGCAGGUGGAGGCUCUCCCUGUGGGAAGGAGGUUUCUCUGCUACAUGCCUAUGAUCUAUGAAUUAAGCCCCUUGGCUCCAUCAUCAGUUUCUCCCGUAACAGCUGGGCACACUGACAGAGAGAGUGAUGAAAACACCAAGCCAUUUCUCCUCCUUUGAAAGGAUAAAGGCCAAUAAAAAAUGGAUAUUGGCAGGCUGGUAUGAGUUACCACACGGGCCGAUGUUCUGAAAUGUCCCAGCUUUGCCAACAUGCCUGACUGCUUUGUGGACAUUGAACAACAUGACCUCAGAUAGAAAAGAAACCACUUGUGUCUGCAGAAAUGAUGGCAAUUUGUUUUGUGGAUCAUUCAGCCAUCUCUGAUCACCACUUUUGCUUCAGCUGAGAAAAGGCAUUAAUCAGCUUAAUUUUUCUCUCUGUAAUUCAGGUCAGACAAUCUCCAUUUACUAAAUGUGAUUGAUCAAUUAAUUAAUUGUACAACAUUCAUUCUUGACGCUAGUUCAGAAUAUGCAAGCUGGAAAUAAGUCACUAGGAAUCUCUACAUCUGGAAGACAAAUUAUGGAUCAUUCAGGACAUUUUCAAGCUCAGUACUAAGAGAAGGUUGGAGUCUUGCCCAGCCCAGUCCAAUUUUUCCUUGUCUUACACCUUUAGAAGCCAUGAAAGAUCACUGGAGUUGCACAGCCAAACAUGAAGGUGUGUUUGGAUGGAUAUAUUGUAUCUGGCAGAAAAAUUUUCCUCCGUGCUUCAUGUUUGUCUGAGUUGUGUUCUUAUUCCAGUAAGCACAAGAGGUCUUUUACUUUUUUUCCUUUUAAGAACAAUAAUACCCAGCCAGCAAGUUAUUAAAAAAAAAAAAAAAAAAAAAAGUGGUUUCUCUUCAGUAGCAAAUUUUCUUCAUUUUUUAAUGUUUGCUUGCUCAUUAAAAGAGAAAAAAUGAAGAAUUACACAAUAUAUAACAGAAGAGAUUGCUGCUGGCAAGAGGCAGGGGUGGAAGGUUCCCAGCACAGCCAGCAGCCGAGCCAGGCUGGCAAGGAAAUGACACCUGCUCCUUUAUUAACCCACACAGACACACGGGGCAGGUUGCAAUUGAGAUACACCCUGAUUAAUGGAAAAUUCUUCCUUAAUGCUGAUGAAUCACUCAUCAGGAAACACUAAGCACAUCCAGUUCCUUCCGAACAGGACAUUUACUAGCUGCUCAAUAAGCUUUAUUACAGUAUCUUCUACAAGUUUUAUGCAUGUAAUCAAAGCGUCUGCAUCAAGUUCUGCAGAUUUUAAACACCUCCAUAAAGCAAUGUAAUGACCUUCACAAAAAAAAAAGUUAAUAAAGGCCUAUAAUAAUCAAAUUUUAUGUCAGUGAGGCACAAAUAUUAACCAUAUGCAGAUUGCACUGAUAAGUCUGAAAGGAGCAGGCAGCAUCCAGUGCUUUGCAUAGCCACUGGAGAUACUGGGACCAAAGACAGCAUAAGGAAAGACUCCGGUUGCCAGUCCUGCAGGACAAGACAUGGGGCAGACAGGUGUCUCAAGGGGGGAAACUAAAUGCAAAUGUGUUCACAGGCCCCUCUUUAAAAAUGACAGGAGCAAAGUGGUAAUUCAAAUGUCACUUGAUUUUUAUUACUUCAACAGCCAAACAAAUGCCCUUUCUCAGGAUUGGUUAAAACUCCUCUAAUGGCCCACAAUUAGGAAAGGCAUUUAAUAAAUCAAUGCCGUCCCCCGCACACCUCGGGCUGACUGGCAUCUCCCUGCAGGUCCCUGCAAGCUGUCCUGCUGUGACAUGGAGCUGUGAGCGGUCAGGGGACACAGAAAGGACUGUCACAGCGGGGACAACAUGGCAGGUUCAGCUGCCUCCAGUGCUGCCUCCAGUUUAUCACAGGUUCCUGCUGAAAAACCCUUCUCACUCCAAGCCAACACGAUCUAUCACUGGUGGGAAAGCCUAGCAAUAUGCCCCCUUUCUUUUUUAAUCCAGAGUGAUCGUACAAAGAUGUCUUCAUAUAUUUAAUACAUUGUGCAUCUAACAGCAAUAUUUUGGCUGUUUUUCUUUGGACUGCACUACAAGCUCAUCGACAUAGUAAGAAGAUCUGCCUCUUCUUCAAAUAUUAAUGAAGAAAAAUGAAAAAAUAUUACUGUGGUCACAUUAUUAUCCCCUUCUUAAUUCCCACUCUUUCUCCCACACUCUGAGAAUGCAGGCAUCUGACAGGUGGUUGAGACAGAGACAGCUUGUCUUCAGCACAUUGCUGUGACCAGGGCUGUGCCUCUCAGACCAGGGUUGAGACCACAGAAGGCUUAAGUUUCAGCAGCAGAAGCAUCAUCACAUUAGACCACAGAUCAGAUUUAACCUGCUUUAUCUGUAUAUUUGUAGCCAUGUCACAGGGAGCAUGCUGCCAACCUCAAAGACUCACCAAGGAUCACCCCAGGUCCAAGCUGCUCUGUCCACAUUAGAAGUGGACAUUCCAUACACAUUUCUACUGCUUCUGCAUGUUGUCACGUGCAACCCUAUAGCGCAGGAGCCCAUAGGCCUGAAAUAGUUGGAGCAAGACAAGUAAGACAUUGUCUCUCCUUCCUCUGUAGUGAAAAGGCAACCGUGCACGCCACUCCACCCCACCCCAACCCAUAGUGAGGCAGUUUCUAUCUCCAUACCUUUGAAAGCAUCAGCAGAUCUAUACAGUUUGAUACCAAUAGCUUGUAUUCAGGUUGGGGGCUGCAGAAGUAACCCAGCAUCAAGCCUGGGUUUUAAAUACAUGCUUUCCCAGCCUUCCUAUAAUUCCAACCCUUGUCCCACUUAAAGCUGAGUGAGAGAUGACACUUUGGAGUCACAGACUGGAGAGCAACCCUUCCAGAGGCCACAUCACCUGUGAUUGCAGUGUAGCUACCAUUUAUUUUCCUUAAGCAUCUUCCAUGCUGUUAGUCUGGUCCUAUAAUUAUAUUUCAAAACAAAGUUGCCUGUCAGGAUGAAGUCUACUUUCCUGAUAAUGCUGAUUUUCUCUUCCUUUCAUAUUGCAAAAUAACACAAAUAGCAUGAAAGAGAUGUUUUUUCCAGAUUUUUGCUUUCCAUCUUAGCUGCAUAGCCUCCAAACUAGGUCAGAUCAGAGAGGGAACAUUUAAUUUAAUCUGUUACAGGGAUUUAAAAAGCUGUUAUAUUGUUAAAGAUUACAUGUGAAGGGUUUACCAAAAUAUCAACCACUUGGUGUGAACGGUUCCUAGACGGUGCUAAGAAAAAGCACCCAGGAAGCAGAGGACGACUAAAGAAAAGAACCUGACAGAAGCCCAUCCGUCUGAAGCUCUGACAUUUUGGGCAUCUUAUCAGUCCUUGGGAUUUGAAAUUAUGUUAUGCCACCCAUUAAGAAAUUCAGCACACUCCACAGCACACAUAAUCCUAAUGCACAACAGCAGUGAUGGGUCAAGGGUCAGGAAAGUCUUGUAGACUCCAAAAUUAAACACAGCAGGUCUUAUAUCUUCUGUUGUUAACUUACAGCUUUUUAAAAUUAAUCAGGAAAUGUGGCAUCCAACCCUUUAAUAUAAAUAAAACUGGAAACAAAGCCCUCUCCUUCCUCCUUCACUUCCUUCCUCCCCCCAUCUCUUUCUGGCAUUUGUGCUACAUGAAGAUGUAAACCUCAGAGUGAGUGGUUUGAGGGGUGCUUGCAAACAAGUCCUAACAUCUCUAUUUUAACUGCAGAGCUAUACGCCUCAAGUGUAAGACCACUGGCUGGAGACAUUUAAGCAGGCUUAGGGUCCUGGCUGGGGCAGAAGUCUACCCAUCAGAGGAGCCCUGCUCAUCACUGUAAUUUUGCUUUGGCAUCACUUAUGUUUUGGUUUGGCAGUCCUUGCUCUAUGGGCCUGUGUACUUUUUUCCUUAUUUAAAAGGAAACACAUCCUGUCCUGUCUGUGCUCCUGAAGGAUCAGGUACAGUCAGAGAUGGAUGGUGUCCCUCCUUGCAGCCCCACUCCCCACCAGGACCCCACAGCCCCAGGGAGGCUGCCUGGAGCAGAGCACACACCUCUUGUCUGCUUCCUUGAUUGAGUUACAUUAAUGGAGAAGCAUUUUGUUACCCUUUUAUUACCUUCAUUAAGAGUCUCAGCAAGGGAAAUGAGUGUUCCUGUGAAAAGCUUCACUGCUGUGCCCAAGUCAGGAAAAUGCUUGUUGCAGCAGACUCCUGCAGGUCUCUGUCCAUGCUGCAGCCUCCAGUCAGGUGUAGUAUUUGUUGUCUUGUCUCACUUGAUCUUCUGGCUCUCCUCAUUGUCUCAGCAUGUCCAAAAUGCUGGAACAUGUGUGCUGAGAAGAGCCUGGAGCUCAGUCUAGCUUCCUGCAAAACACAUGCUUCCAUUGACUUCAACAGGAAAAGGAGCUGACCUUUAAAACUCGCAUUGCGUUAGGCUUGGAAUAACUCAGAGAUCUUUCUGUACAAUGAUUUUCAAGUGUAUUAAUCAUAUACAACAAUUCACAGAGUUUUUGUUUUACUUCACUACCUUGUUAUUUCCCCAAACCCUUGGCAAAUAAUCUCCUUCACAUCUGGUGGUGUCUGGGGUAUGGAUGCUCUUCAGGUGCCAUCUUCAUUUUUUGCCAGGGAGUGGGACAUGGUUUACACCUUGCAGUCAGGGAUUUUGCUGCCUUUGUAGAUGUGUUCUGCAAAGGUUCCUUUUAGGACUAAAAUGAAGCCUCCUUCAUUGUGCAUUU